rnacentral:rRNA from 1 species
UACGGAGGGGGCAAGCGUUGUUCGGAUUUAUUGGGCGUAGAGCGCAUGUAGGCGGUGAAGUAAGUCGGAUGUUAAAGACCCACGGCUCACCCGGGGGAAUGCGUCCGAUACUGCUUUGCUAGAGUGCAAGAGAGGACAGUGGAAUUCCUGGUGUAGCGGUGAAAUGCGUAGAUAUCAGGAGGAACACCGGUGGCGAAGGCGGCUUUCUGGCUUGCAACUGACGCUGAGAUGCGAAAGUAUGGGUAGCGAACGGGAUUAGAUACCCCGGUAGUCCAUACCGUAAACGUUGGAUACUAGGUGUUGGAGGUUUUCUACCCCUUCAGUGCCGCAGCUAACGCAUUAAGUAUCCCGCCUGGGGGGUACGACCGCAAGGUUGAA